rnacentral:rRNA from 1 species
ACGCUCGACACCUACGGGAGGUAGCAGUGGGGAAUAUUGCACAAUGGGGGAAACCCUGAUGCAGCGACGCCGCGUGAGCGAAGAAGUAUUUCGGUAUGUAAAGCUCUAUCAGCAGGGAAGAAACUGACGGUACCUGACUAAGAAGCACCGGCUAAAUACGUGCCAGCAGCAGCGGUAAUCUGAGCGGGCUGGCAAGGC